CCUACGGGAGGCAGCAGUGAGGAAUAUUGGUCAAUGGACGAGAGUCUGAACCAGCCAAGUAGCGUGAAGGAUGACUGCCCUAUGGGUUGUAAACUUCUUUUAUAUGGGAAUAAAAUGUUCCACGUGUGGGAUUUUGUAUGUACCAUAUGAAUAAGGAUCAGCUAACUCCGUGCCAGCAGCCGCGGUAAUACGGAGGAUCCGAGCGUUAUCCGGAUUUAUUGGGUUUAAAGGGAGCGUAGGUGGAUUGUUAAGUCAGUUGUGAAAGUUUGCGGCUCAACCGUAAAAUUGCAGUUGAAACUGGCAGUCUUGAGUACAGUAGAGGUGGGCGGAAGUCGUGGUGUAGCGGUGAAAUGCUUAGAUAUCACGAAGAACUCCGAUUGCGAAGGCAGUUCACUGGACUGCAACUGACACUGAGGCUCGAAAGUGUGGGUAUCAAACAGGAUUAGAUACCCGAGUAGUC
rnacentral:rRNA from 1 species